UGUACACUCUGUGACACAUUUCUUCUUCUCUUGAUGGUCUUCAAUAAAUGCCUCUGUCCGCCCAAAAACCCCUCGUUCGCAAACUCCCAUCUGUCUGGAUCAAUUUUUCUAAAUCCCUGCAUCCAUUUCCGAAGGUCUAGUUAAAUAAUCAAAUCAAAAGUAAAAAUGAAAGCCAUAAAGUAAUGAUAGCAAUCAAAUUCCUAAAACCGGGGAGGCUAUUUCUAUAAUUGAAAAUGAAAAAGAAAAGCAACUGAUACUCACAUAGGUAUUGAGCUGGCGAAUGAAGCUGGAGAAGUUACUGUGCUUGAAGUAGCGAGGAAGAAUGGUGGUCGAGAACUUGUGGGAGUCCCAGACUAUGAAGCUGUUACGAGCAAGGCUCCAAGAAACAACAGGGUCGGUGGACGGGUCUUCCACCAUUUCAAAUGUCUUGGUGAGAAAUGGAGGAGGCCCCAUCUCGUGCAGCCCUUCCAUUGGGCGAGGAGAGAGACUUGAAGGGGAAGAGGAAGCUGAAGACGACGAACCAGCUACCAUUUCUUCCACUUUCACUCUCACUGUCUCCAUACCACAGGUUGCAGAGAAGAAUCAGAAAGAGCGAAGUCCAACAGCAAAGGCAAGUAGCCGUAAUAUGUUUGAUCAGUUGAAGAGUUUUGUUUUGGCUCUUAUUUCUUGAUAACUAGAGAGAGAUGAUGCGUUUUAGGCGGUAGAAAAGAAGAUUCUAGAGACGGAAAAGGGAGAGAAAUAUCUGGUAGGUGUUCAUUUUUAUUCCCUGAUUCCGCCAUUUGUCCCUCUGACGUGGCAUCAGAUUCUGUCUCUCACGAAAAGUUCUGGAAACUUCUCCUCUCUUGGGCUUCUAUCCAGAUUCCUAGCGGAAUUUGCAAUAUGGGCAUUCCCAUUAUUGUAAACUAGGUGGGCUCUCAGACAAAAACGACCAGGCACAAUGAAACCUCAUUGGGCUCGCACAGUGAAAUAACAGGCAAGUCGUCCUAGCCCACGAGGCCCGAUUGAGAAUAAGGCUCAUCAAAGCCCAAGUCUCGAACUUAGGUCCUAAAUAACUAGAAAUUUCAUGAAAUCAAGUUUAUUUUUCUGUCAUCUAUCAUCUAUCAUCUAUGUGUGUACAUGUAUAUAUAUGUAAAAGGCAUAUCGUUGUUACUAUUUAUCUGCAGUUGAAUGAAAGGUAACAACGAUGUGAGCCAAUAUUUUGUAUGUUGAAAUAUCAUGUGUUGUUGUUGUUAAAGUAUCAGGCCUCAUAGUAGGAAAAAAAUAAAUGCAGGGUUCAUGGUGUAA